UACGGAGGGAGCUAGCGUUGUUCGGAAUUACUGGGCGUAAAGCGCGCGUAGGCGGUCUUGUAAGUUAGAGGUGAAAGCCCGGGGCUCAACCCCGGAACUGCCUUUAAGACUGCAAGACUAGAAUCCGGGAGAGGUAAGCGGAAUUCCGAGUGUAGAGGUGAAAUUCGUAGAUAUUCGGAAGAACACCAGUGGCGAAGGCGGCUUACUGGACCGGCAUUGACGCUGAGGCGCGAAAGCGUGGGGAGCAAACAGG
rnacentral:misc_RNA from 1 species